rnacentral:rRNA from 1 species
UACGAAGGGGCUAGCGUUGCUCGGAAUCACUGGGCGUAAAGGGUGCGUAGGCGGGUCUUUUAAGUCAGGGGUGAAAUCCUGGAGCUCAACUCCAGAACUGCCUUUGAUACUGAGGAUCUUGAGUUCGGGAGAGGUGAGUGGAACUGCGAGUGUAGAGGUGAAAUUCGUAGAUAUUCGCAAGAACACCAGUAGGCGAAGGCGGAGCUCACCUGGC